AUCCUGGCUCAGGACGAACGCUGGCGGCGUGCCUAACACAUGCAAGUCGAACGGGGACUGUCUAAAGCUUGCUUUAGGCAGUUCUAGUGGCGGACGGGUGAGUAACGCGUGAGGAACCUGCCUUUCAGAGGGGGAUAACGUCUGGAAACGGACGCUAAUACCGCAUGACAUUUUAGAGUCACAUGGCUUUAGAAUCAAAGGAGCAAUCCGCUGGAAGAUGGACUCGCGUCCGAUUAGCCAGUUGGUGAGGUAACGGCCCACCAAAGCGACGAUCGGUAGCCGGACUGAGAGGUUGAACGGCCACAUUGGGACUGAGACACGGCCCAGACUCCUACGGGAGGCAGCAGUGGGGGAUAUUGCACAAUGGAGGAAACUCUGAUGCAGCAACGCCGCGUGAGGGAAGACGGUCUUCGGAUUGUAAACCUUUGUCCUCGGUGACGAUAAUGACGGUAGCCGAGGAGGAAGCUCCGGCUAACUACGUGCCAGCAGCCGCGGUAAUACGUAGGGAGCAAGCGUUGUCCGGAUUUACUGGGUGUAAAGGGUGCGUAGGCGGCUCUGCAAGUCAGGUGUGAAAACCAUCGGCUCAACUGAUGGACUGCAUUUGAAACUGUGGGGCUUGAGUGAAGUAGAGGCAGGUGGAAUUCCCGGUGUAGCGGUGGAAUGCGUAGAGAUCGGGAGGAACACCAGUGGCGAAGGCGGCCUGCUGGGCUUUAACUGACGCUGAGGCACGAAAGCAUGGGUAGCAAACAGGAUUAGAUACCCUGGUAGUCCAUGCUGUAAACGAUGAUUACUAGGUGUGGGUGGUCUGACCCCAUCCGUGCCGGAGUUAACACAAUAAGUAAUCCACCUGGGGAGUACG
rnacentral:rRNA from 1 species